rnacentral:snRNA from 1 species
AGAUGUGAGGGUGAUCUGGCUGCAACAUCUGUCACCCCAGGGUUGAUUCAGCUGAUCUGGCUGGCUAGGUGGGUGUCCCCUUCCUCCCUCACCGCUGCAUGUGCGUCCCUCCUGAAGCUGCACACUCAGUUGAUGGACCUGUCUUCAGUCAAGGGUAUAUGAGUAGCUAUGCUCCCCUGCUGGAACCUCCAAACAAGCUCUAAAAGUCCCAGAUUCAAUCCCCUGCACUACCAUAAACCAGAGCUAACCAGUGCUCUGUU